rnacentral:rRNA from 1 species
AGGCCUAACACAUGCAAGUCGAACGGUAGCACAGAGAAGCUUGCUUCUUGGGUGACGAGUGGCGGACGGGUGAGUAAUGUCUGGGAAACUGCCCGAUGGAGGGGGAUAACUACUGGAAACGGUAGCUAAUACCGCAUAACGUCUUCGGACCAAAGUGGGGGACCUUCGGGCCUCACGCCAUCGGAUGUGCCCAGAUGGGAUUAGCUAGUAGGUGGGGUAACGGCUCACCUAGGCGACGAUCCCUAGCUGGUCUGAGAGGAUGACCAGCCACACUGGAACUGAGACACGGUCCAGACUCCUACGGGAGGCAGCAGUGGGGAAUAUUGCACAAUGGGCGCAAGCCUGAUGCAGCCAUGCCGCGUGUAUGAAGAAGGCCUUCGGGUUGUAAAGUACUUUCAGCGGGGAGGAAGGCGACGCGGUUAAUAACCGCGUCGAU